ensembl:lncRNA
CCCGGCCCCAUUCCGACCCCGCGGCCAUAAAUCAGAGCUCAGUGGGACGCAGCCAUAUGGGAUCGGCGCGGAGCAACGCCGUCCUGAUGGGUUCCGGCGGCGGAGCGACGCUCCAUCAAAUCCAUGGAGGGGAUGCGAGCCCGGACGAGAGAGUGACCCGAACCCACGGAGCCCUCAGCGGGACCCCCCCCCAAAUGGAACCCCCCUGGGAUCGCCCCAUGGAGCCCCCGGGACCCUCCGGCGGACCCCCCCCCCAUCCAUGGAACCUCCCGACGGAUCCCCCCCCCCCAUGGACCUCUCCCCCCCCCCGGGGGGGGCGCACGAGAAGUUUGAGAGGAGCGGCUGCAGAGAGGUCCUGGCAGGUCACAGCAGCGAUCUGAGCCCCCCCAGGAGCGAUCUGAGCCCCCCCAGCAGUGAUCUGAGCCCCCCAGGAGCGAUCUGAGCCCCCCCAGGAGCGGUCUGAGACCAAAACGAGCAUCCCCGGGGGGGUCCCCCCGGCCGCAGCAAUUCCCAUCCGCGGGAGGAAGGAGAGGCCGAGAGGGGGGGAAGAUUGAAUUGAAGCCCCGGGGCCAUUAACCCGCUGCCCUGGCCCAACUCCAGCUGCAGUAAUUACAUUCGCCCUGAUUAAAAAUUUCCCCUUCGUUUUCAAUUAGCUCCGCCGUCCUUCUUCGCUUCCCUCCUCCCCAACCACAGCGCUGUGCGGCUCCGCAGUGCGGCUGCUCUGCAAAGGGGAAACUGAGGCACGGGGGGCUGUGGGGAGGGGGCGUUGUGGCACCUGUGGGGCACAGUGGGGCACUGCAUGGGGGGCGAUCAUAGCGCCUAUGGGGUAUUGCUCUACACUGGGGCUCCUAUGGGGCAUCGCAUGGGGGUGUCCAUGGCAUCUAUGGGGCACUUAUGGGGUAUUGCAUGGGGGUGUUCUAGUGCCUAUGGGGCA